rnacentral:rRNA from 1 species
AUUGAACGCUGGCGGCAGGCCUAACACAUGCAAGUCGAACGGUAACAGGAAGAAGCUUGCUUCUUUGCUGACGAGUGGCGGACGGGUGAGUAAUGUCUGGGAAACUGCCUGAUGGAGGGGGAUAACUACUGGAAACGGUAGCUAAUACCGCAUAACGUCGCAAGACCAAAGAGGGGGACCUUCGGGCCUCUUGCCAUCGGAUGUGCCCAGAUGGGAUUAGCUAGUUGGUGGGGUAACGGCUCACCAAGGCGACGAUCCCUAGCUGGUCUGAGAGGAUGACCAGCCACACUGGAACUGAGACACGGUCCAGACUCCUACGGGAGGCAGCAGUGGGGAAUAUUGCACAAUGGGCGCAAGCCUAAUGCAGCCAUGCCGCGUGUAUGAAGAAGGCCUUCGGGUUGUAAAGUACUUUCAGCGGGGAGGAAGGGAGUAAAGUUAAUACCUUUGCUCAUUGACGUUACCCGCAGAAGAAGCACCGGCUAACUCCGUGCCAGCAGCCGCCCGUAA